rnacentral:rRNA from 1 species
UACCAGCACCCCGAGUGGUCGGGACGAUUAUUGGGCCUAAAGCAUCCGUAGCCGGUCAUGCAAGUCUUCCGUUAAAUCCAGCCGCUCAACGGUUGGGCUGCGGAGGAUACUACGUGGCUAGGAGGCGGGAGAGGCAAGCGGUACUCAGUGGGUAGGGGUAAAAUCCUUUGAUCCAUUGAAGACCACCAGUGGCGAAGGCGGCUUGCCAGAACGCGCUCGACGGUGAGGGAUGAAAGCUGGGGGAGCAAACCGA